rnacentral:rRNA from 1 species
AUAACGGUCCUAAGGUAGCGAAAUUCCUUGUCGGGUAAGUUCCGACCUGCACGAAAGGCGCAACGACUUGGGCGCUGUCUCGACCAUGGACCCGGUGAAAUUGCACUGGUCGUGAAGAUGCGACUUACCCGCGGAAGGACGGAAAGACCCCGUGAACCUUCACUGCAGCUUGGCAUUGGCCGCUGGUCCCGCGUGUAGAGGAUAGGCAGGAGGCAUCGAUCCGGAGGCGCCAGCCCCCGGGGAGCCGCCCUUGGAAUACUGCCCUCGCGCGACCGGCGUCCUAACCCGAGGCCGUCAACCGGCUCGGGGACCGUGCCAGGCGGGCAGUUUGACUGGGGCGGUCGCCUCCUAAAGGGUAACGGAGGCGCGCGAAGGUCCGCUCGGGACGGUCGGCAACCGUCCUUUUGAAUGCAAGAGUACAAGCGGGCUUGACUGCGAGGCCCACGAGCCGAGCAGGUGCGAAAGCAGGCUCUAGUGAUCCGGCGGCCCCGAGUGGGUGGGCCGUCGCUCAACGGAUAAAAGGUACUCCGGGGAUAACAGGCUGAUCUUGCCCAAGAGUCCACAUCGACGGCAAGGUUUGGCACCUCGAUGUCGGCUCAUCGCAUCCUGGGGCUGGAGCAGGUCCCAAGGGUACGGCUGUUCGCCGUUUAAAGCGGUACGCGAGCUGGGUUCAGAACGUCGUGAGACAGUUCGGUCCCUAUCCUCCGUGGGCGCAGGAGAAUCGAUGGAGGCUGCCCCCAGUACGAGAGGACCGGGGUGGACGCACCUCCGGUGAACCGGUUGUCGACCAACGGCACGGCCGGGUAGCCGCGUGCGGCGCGGAUAACCGCUGAAGGCAUCUAAGCGGGAAGCCGUUCCAGGGAUUAGUUCUCCUUCCGGUAAGGGCCCAGGUAGACUACCUGGUCGAUAGACGGCAGGUGCAAGGGCGGCGACGUCCUCAGCCGAGCCGCACUAAUCGCCCGAGCUCUUCCGGAA